rnacentral:rRNA from 1 species
GAUGAACGCUGGCGGCGUGCCUAAUACAUGCAAGUCGAGCGAACAGAUGAGGAGCUUGCUCCUCUGACGUUAGCGGCGGACGGGUGAGUAACACGUGGAUAACCUACCUAUAAGACUGGGAUAACUUCGGGAAACCGGAGCUAAUACCGGAUAAUAUAUUGAACCGCAUGGUUCAAUAGUGAAAGACGGUUUUGCUGUCACUUAUAGAUGGAUCCGCGCCGCAUUAGCUAGUUGGUAAGGUAACGGCUUACCAAGGCAACGAUGCGUAGCCGACCUGAGAGUGUGAUCGGCCACACUGGAACUGAGACACGGUCCAGACUCCUACGGGAGGCAGCAGUAGGGAAUCUUCCGCAAUGGGCGAAAGCCUGACGGAACAACGCCGCGGGAGUGAUGAAGGUCUUCGGAUCGUAAAACUCUGUUAUUAGGGAAGAACAAAUGUGUAAGUAACUAUGCACGUCUUGACGGUACCUAAUCAGAAAGCCACGGCUAACUACGUG